GACGAACGCUGGCGGCGCGCUUAACACAUGCAAGUCGAGCGAAGCGGCGGACGGGUGAGUAACACGUGAGUAACCUGCCUUAGACAUUGGGAUAGCCUCGGGAAACCGGGAUUAAUACCAAAUGGUCUAAGAUGGACUCGCGUCCCAUUAGCUAGUUGGUGGGUAACGGCCCACCAAGGCGACGAUGGGUAGCCGGCCUGAUAGGGUGAACGGCUACAUUGGACCUGAGUAACGGUCCAAACUCUACGGAAGGGAGCAGUGGGGAAUAUUGCACAAUGGAGGGAACUCUGAGGCAGCGACGCCGCGUGAACGAAGAAGGCUGUCGAGUCGUAAAGUUCUUUUAUAUGGGAAGCGGUACCAUAAGAAAAAGCCCCGGCUAACUCCGUGCCAGCAGCCGCGGUAAUAC
rnacentral:rRNA from 1 species